GCGAGGGUAUCCAAGUGGCCAACGGAGGCUGACUCAAGAUCUGUUCUCAAGGAGUUCGCGGGUUCGAAUCCCUCCCCUCGCAC
rnacentral:tRNA from 1 species